GAUGAACGCUAGCGGCAGGCUUAAUACAUGCAAGUUGAGGGGCAGCAUGAUAUACGCGAGUAUAUUGAUGGCGACCGGCGGACGGGUGAGUAAUAGGUAGGAGACCUACCUCAUACAGGGGGAUAGCAUAGAGAAAUCUGUGGUAAUACCCCAUGAGGUUAUAUGAAUAGAGGCAUACAAUCAAAGCAUAAGCGAUUAUGCGGUAUGAGAGGGGCCUACUGACCAUUAGCUAGUUGGUGAGGUAAGGGCUCACCAAGGCGAAGAUGGUUAGGGGUUUUGAGAGAGAGACCCCCCACAUUGGAACUGAGAGACGGUCCAGACUCCUACGGGAGGCAGCAGUAGGGAAUAUUGGGCAAUGGGCGAAAGCCUGACCCAGCCAUGCCGCGUGAAGGAAGACGGCCUUAUGGGUUGUAAACUUCUUUACUACGCGAAUAGAGGUUAGUACGAGAUACUAAUAGGAAGGUAGUGUAGUAAAAGCACCGGCUAACUCCGUG
rnacentral:rRNA from 1 species